GACGAACGCUGGCGGCGUGCUUAACACAUGCAAGUCGAACGGAAAGGCCCUGCUUUUGUGGGGUGCUCGAGUGGCGAACGGGUGAGUAACACGUGAGUAACCUGCCCUUGACUUUGGGAUAACUUCAGGAAACUGGGGCUAAUACCGGAUAGGAGCUCCUGCUGCAUGGUGGGGGUUGGAAAGUUUCGGCUGUUGGGGAUGGACUCGCGGCUUAUCAGCUUGUUGGUGGGGUAGUGGCUUACCAAGGCUUUGACGGGUAGCCGGCCUGAGAGGGUGACCGGCCACAUUGGGACUGAGAUACGGCCCAGACUCCUACGGGAGGCAGCAGUGGGGAAUAUUGCACAAUGGGCGGAAGCCUGAUGAAGCAACGCCGCGUGCGGGAUGACGGCCUUCGGGUUGUAAACCGCUUUCGCCUGUGACGAAGCGUGAGUGACGGUAAUGGGUAAAGAAGCACCGGCUAACUACGUG
rnacentral:rRNA from 1 species